rnacentral:tRNA from 1 species
GGAGGAGUGGCGGAGCGGUCGAUCGCGCCGGUCUUGAAAACCGGAGACGGUUCACGCCGUCCGUGGGUUCGAAUCCCACCUCCUCCGCCA